GGCACUUACAGAAUUAUUGUUGGAACCUGCA
rnacentral:piRNA from 1 species